AUUGAACGCUGGCGGCAUGCUUUACACAUGCAAGUCGAACGGUAACAGGCCUUCGGGUGCUGACGAGUGGCGAACGGGUGAGUAAUGCAUCGGAACGUGCCCAGGGGUGGGGGAUAACGCAGCGAAAGCUGUGCUAAUACCGCAUGUGAUCUGAGGAUGAAAGCGGGGGACCAGGCAGCAAUGUUUGGCCUCGCGCCUUUGGAGCGGCCUAUGUCAGAUUAGGUAGUUGGUGGGGUAAAGGCCUACCAAGCCGACGAUCUGUAGCUGGUCUGAGAGGACGACCAGCCACACUGGGACUGAGACACGGCCCAGACUCCUACGGGAGGCAGCAGUGGGGAAUUUUGGACAAUGGGCGCAAGCCUGAUCCAGCAAUGCCGCGUGCGGGAAGAAGGCCUUCGGGUUGUAAACCGCUUUUGUACGGAACGAAGAGGCUCUGGCUAAUACCUGGGGCUGAUGACGGUACCGUAAGAAUAAGCACCGGCUAACUACGUG
rnacentral:rRNA from 1 species